rnacentral:rRNA from 1 species
AUUGAACGCUGGCGGCAGGCCUAACACAUGCAAGUCGAGCGAGCGGCGGACGGGUGAGCAAUGUAUGGGGAUCUGCCCGAUAGCGGGGGAUCACUACUGGAAACGGUAGCUAAUACCGCAUACUAUCGGAUUAACCCAUAUGGGAUUAGCUAGUAGGUGGGGGAAAGGCUCACCUAGGCGACGAUCCCUAGCUGAGCUGAGAGGAUGACCAGACACACUGGAACUGAGACACGGUCCAGACUCCUACGAGAGGCAGCAGUGGGGAAUAUUGCACAAUGGGCGCAAGCCUGAUGCAGCCAUGCCGCGUGUAUGAAGAAGGCCUUCGGGUUGUAAAAUACUUUCGGCGGGGAGGCGUUACCCGCAGAAGAAGCACCGGCUAACUCCGUGCCAGCAGCCGCGGUAAUAC